rnacentral:lncRNA from 1 species
GUAAUUCAACUUCCAACACAAGAAAAUACACAACCUGCUGAUGAACCAUUUCAACAAGAUGAAAUGGAACACACUGCCAUAAUUAGAGAAAUUGAUGAUUCAACACAACAAUUAAAUGAUCCAACUGGGGAUGUUAUUGAAAUUGAUGAUGGUGAAGAAAAUGAUGAAGAUGAAACUAUAAUAGCAACAGAAAUAGAUGAUGAUGAUGAUGAUGAUGACUUAGAUGUAGAUAGUGAAUAGAAGGUAUAACAUAAUUGAUAUCUAUUUUUACUUUUAGUUAUUAAAUAUGUUAACUACAUCUUGAUUUUUAUAAUGUAAAUUUGUACAGGAUGAGAGGACGAGGACGCGGAUCUUCAUCACGGGGUCGAGGAGACCAUGGCAGGGGUAGUGUCCACACAACUGAAUCAGAAAAUGUCAAUCAAGAUUUGGUACAACACACUGCUUUGAUUCCUAGACCAGACCAGGGUGAGAGAUCCACACCGGGUGCUGCAUCAUCCACUCCUGCUUCAAUGCACACAUCUGCUACUGCCUCAGCACCCAUAGGUUUGCCACCUAUUGCAUCUACGGCUACAUCUGCAUCUGCUUCUGGUAGUUGUGGACCUACAGGGCUCAGACCACAUAUUCACUUAG